UACGUAGGGUCCGAGCGUUGUCCGGAAUUACUGGGCGUAAAGAGCUCGUAGGUGGUUUGUCGCGUUGUUCGUGAAAACUCACAGCUUAACUGGGGGCGUGCGGGCGAUACGGGCAGACUGGAGUACUGCAGGGGAGACUGGAAUUCCUGGUGUAGCGGUGGAAUGCGCAGAUAUCAGGAGGAACACCGGUGGCGAAGGCGGGUCUCUGGGCAGUAAACUGACGC
rnacentral:rRNA from 1 species